CGUGUAGGCGGGGGACUAAGUUAGAUGUGAAAGCCAUGGGCUCAACCCGUGAAUUGCAUUUAAAACUGGUUCUCUUGAGUUCGGGAGAGGUGAGCGGAAUUCCCGGUGUAGCGGUGAAAUGCGUAGAUAUCGGGAAGAACACCAGUGGCGAAGGCGGCUCACUGGCCUAGAACUGACGCUAAGGCGCGAAAGCGUGGGGAGCGAACG
rnacentral:rRNA from 1 species